CUCUGGCCUCUGUUUUUCGAUGAACACAAUAAUGGGAGGCUGCGGCUUCAAUGGAGAAAAGAGAGAAAAAUCGUUGGUGAUCGUCGGUGUUCAUCAUGGCCAGCCUUAGAGGAGAGAAGAGGGGAUUUUAUAGGGCUCUUCCUAGGGUUCCUAUUUGUCCUAGGAGUCCUUGAUCUAAUUAGGCAAGGGGAGGAAGAAGAAGACUCCCAU
rnacentral:lncRNA from 1 species